UAAUUUCGGAAGUUUGGAUAUUUACAAAAAUGCCACGGAAGAAAUGGGAAAAAAAUAAAGAUGCGUUGCCUGGAAUGGGUGCGCGAGAGCUAGCCACGUGGCGCAAGGAGAAUUGUCGGAUUGUUGAAGACAUGGAUUGAGGGAAGUAUGUAGUGAAUAUUAUGCGUGAAAGGAGAUUCGAACCCGUGAUCUCGAAGCUAGGCGUGCGCGGCUGAGGG
rnacentral:lncRNA from 1 species